GCUUUCUCCACCCCACACAUAGAGAGAGUGGUUAUUUUCCUACUUCCAGAAGCGUCAACAAGGCAGUUAAUCACCAUAUCAAUGGUGAUAGCGUAACUUUGUUGGUGAGGGUAGCAUUUCUAGAGAUUUCUGAAAAUCAGUCAUAAUUUCCAAGUGCUGCGUUUCAUUACACUUUUCCUCACCCUGCUACAUCCAGGGCUUUGUUUCCAGGGUGGGCUGGAAUGCUUUAAAACAAGCACUCGUCUGUACUAUUAUUCCUUCCUUCCUCUUUGGAGCUGUGAAAGGCCACCAGGGCCUGUCUCCAGGACUCUCCCUAUAAAGGAUGUUUUCUUUAUGCAGACAAAGGCCACGGGGAAAUUAAGGAUAAAUGAUGUUACCUCCUCCAUAGAAGCAGCUAUGUGACCAAGCAAAUGAGCCAGAAGGUGACUUCCAGUAACAUAGAUCAAAGGGACGCAACGAGUUUCACUAGGACAUCAAAUAGUGUGCUUAUGGCAACUCGAGGUUUGGGCUUCAUUUAGAAACCCAAUACGUACUAGGUCCAUUUGUCUCUCUUGUAAUUUUUCCUUCAGUUUUAUUGACUUAUUAGAAAAUGCAUUGUUAAUCCAGAUCUAACAGUACAUAAUGG
ensembl:lncRNA